UCACAAAGUGUUGGGAUAUGUAAACCAAUGUCCUUUGCAGAGGAGGAAAACAAGAAACUGAGCUGUGGGCAGCAGGAGGAGAGUCUCAUUCGCCAGCAGGCAGCACCCUGUGCUGGCAGAGGAGGAAUCUGAGCCUCAAAAGCCCUGGGCAGGAUUUGCACAAAGUCUCCCGUUUCAAGUUGCAUGUCUCCGGAGUCCCAGGAAGGCGCCCAUCCCAGUCUCCCUCUCAGAGCCUUAAGGAUUGCUAAGAAACCCUUUGUACCACCCACAGGACACAAAGAGGAACCUGACAGAACAGAAUCUGUCUUCCUGAAGCGAUCUGCUGCUCCUCCAGUUCCCUCCUUUAUCCUGCGUGGCUGGCUCCAGUCCCUGAGAGAAAAUAACUGAAAUAAGACAUUGGAGAAAGGACACCAACUAAACAGAAAUAAGCAACCAACCAGGCAAUUCUAACAUCCACAGUGGGAAAGAAAACAGAUCCCUGAUCCCCAGAUGAUGACACAGGUUCAGAAAGACUAAGUGUGUCAGCAAGAGGACAACCAAUAUUUACAGCCCAGGCCUCCUGACCCCAAAUUCAGGACACUUUCCCCUCACCUGAGAACUCCUGAUCCUGCCUGUGGACUUUUGAACACUCAUGAGCCUUAUUGUCAUGUAACAAAAGAAUUGGGGGAAGGAAAAAUAGUUUCUACUAAAUAAAUAAACUUUUAAGUUCUUUUAUAGGAUGAAUUGUGUCUUUCAAAAUGCAUGUGUUGAAGUAAGCCAGUAUCUCAGAACAUGACUAUUUAGAAAUAGGCUCUUUAAAGAGGUGAUUAAGUUAAAAUGGAAUGUUAGGGUGGGACCAAAUCUAAUGUAAUUGGUGUUCUUAUAAGAAGAGAAGAUUAGGACAGACA